rnacentral:rRNA from 1 species
CCUACGGGUGGCAGCAGUGGGGAAUAUUGCGCAAUGGGCGAAAGCCUGACGCAGCGACGCCGCGUGAGGGAUGAAGGUCUUCGGAUCGUAAACCUCUGUCAGCAGGGAAGAACGGUCACUGUGCUAAUCAGCAGUGAAUUGACGGUACCUGCAAAGGAAGCACCGGCUAACUCCGUGCCAGCAGCCGCGGUAAUACGUAGGGUGCGAGCGUUAAUCGGAAUUACUGGGCGUAAAGCGAUCGUAGGCGGUAUGUCAAGUCAAGGGUGAAAUCCCCGCGCUCAACGUGGGAACUGCCUUUGAAACAGGCAAACUGGAGUGUGUGAGAGGAGAGUGGAAUUCCAGGUGUAGGAGUGAAAUGCGUAGAUAUCUGGAGGAACAUCAGUGGCGAAGGCGACUAUCUGGCACAUAACUGACGCUGAGGAGCGAAAGCGUGGGUAGCAAACAGGAUUAGAUACCCCUGUAGUC